rnacentral:rRNA from 1 species
UGUGACAUACCUCUGUUGCCUCGGUGGCCUAUAAGGUUCCUACCCUGUAGUUACCCUGUAGUCCGCCGACGGUCUAUACAAACUCUGUUUUUUUAAUAUCUCUGAGUCAACUAUAAAUAAGUUAAAACUUUCAACAACGGAUCUCUUGGUUCUGGCAUCGAUGAAGAACGCAGCGAAAUGCGAUAAGUAAUGUGAAUUGCAGAAUUCAGUGAAUCAUCGAAUCUUUGAACGCACAUUGCGCCCAUUAGUAUUCUAGUGGGCAUGCCUGUUCGAGCGUCAUUAAGUCCACUUAAGCCCUGCUUAGUGUUGGGAACCUACAGAAGCUACCCUGUAGCUACCCUGUAGUUCCUUAAAGACAGCGGCGGAGUUGUAGUACCCUCUGAGCUUAGUAAUUUUUUCUAGCUUUCGAGAUGCUACUGCUUCUGCCGUUAAACACCCUUCUUCUGAAUGGUUGACCUCGGAUCAGGUAGGAAUACCCGCUGAACUUAAGCAUAUCAAUAAGCGGAGGAA